CAUAGGACACAAAAGAGCUGAUAAUGUUGUCGUAAUAAGUAAUUUAUCGGUUUAGUGUGUAACUACGUGAAAGCAGAAGUGACUGGAAGUCGAUUGUAAACAUCUAUCGCAGUUGGUAAGCUCCAACAGCUCCGCGAACGUCUGCGAGGCGGAUCUUCCUGGCUCGUCCUCCAACACGCUAUCCGGUGGGCUGUUCAACAUCUUCGCGUACUUGCCGUCUUGGGACUGUGGCUGCUGGUGAUGGUGACCUCUCGUCUCGUCCAAGCCAAGGAACGUAAUUGCGGACAGGAGGGUGUACACACCGUCUUUCCUCUUGGACUUCUAUCAAUCUGGAGGUAGGGGGUUCCUUGCGUUCCUCGUUGUCGCUGUUGUCGUCAGGGUCGACGAAAACUAGCCUGGCCGCUUCCACAGGUGUCAGGACAGGUGUAGGUGGCUUUUGUCUUCGGCGAGCCAGCGUGUUGGCGCUCCGUGACUUCACCAUCCCCGUUGACGGUUCGACGACCUCCGCGUCUACUUGCUGAAAUGGAUAAUACGAGUUCGCCUGCGGGCAGGCUCAAAUUGUCACAUGCGUUUCGUUUUUGCAAACGCGAGGUUUAAUUCGGGUGCAAAUAACGGGAACGAAAAAUAUAACGAAACGAUACGGCGAAGCUCGGUCUAGCCGGUGCCUCGUUCGGUGAUAUCCUGCUGUUGCACAGCCUCGUCCUUUGAUUUCUCGGCUUGUACUUCGCGUUGUCGAGGCGGCGUGACCGUGAAGGGGCCCUGGACCGGGCUUAUUUUUCAAUAGACACCAGGAGGCUGCAUUCACGUCCCAUCGCCAACAGUCGCUCCUCUCUUGGAGGUCGGUCAUACCCCCGUAAACGUACAUCGCAUCGCCAUGAAGAACCGCUGAAUGUUUAUGCCUCGCUGCCGGGCCGCAUUCACUGGACGAAAGAAGGUGCCAGGAUUCCGUUUCUAAAGGGUGAAUUAUGAAAAUUAUCCAGGAAUAUUAAAUAAACAGGAUGCGGGAGAAAAUUUGACCUCUAAGCUGUAUUCGUCCUAGAACGAAAUUCAAAUAAUUCGAGUGAAUGCAUAAAACUAGUCCGAGUAACUAGAAAAUUUGGAACUUUGUACAAAUUUUGUACAAGUUUAAACCACGAGUUAAUGAAGUAUCUUAUCGUUUUACCAAAGUGAAACGCCCACAGCUCUGGGGAGCUUCCACGCAAAUCUUGAUAGCCACCGUAGAUGAGCAUUUGACCUCGAUGAACCAAUGCCGUAUGGCCUCUUCGUCCCCUAGGAACUGCACAGCCCCGUUGCGCUCUCACCUUUCUCCACAUUUCAUAGAUUACGCGAGUUGGGUGACAAUAAGCUUGGAAAUACUCUAAUUCCGACUAGACAGGAGAGGUUUCUGAAUGCGACUGGGGUUGGCCAGAACAAAAGGCACAGAAGGACACCAAUUUGUCACUCCCUUAUUUUGCCGUUUGAAUAGGCUCGAGUUUAAUGCUCGAGGCACCAGCUGAAGACUUAGAAGAAAGACUAUUCUCCCUCGAUUAAUCCACAUAACAAAAGGUUCUACUCUACAAAUAUUUACACGUGGGAAAUGGUCCAUUUUCAAUGUUGAGAAAAAUUGUCUUGAAUUCGCUGGCCGGUCGUAUCGAAAUACGAGACCUGAAUGGAAAGGGUUAAUACCAUGAACUGGAACGCACGUCGGUGGUUCUUUUGACGCGCGGUGGUUCAAUCAUGGAUCUUUUGCUUAGGCCAGUGAAUCUCGGCUAGCCAAGAAGAUAGGAGAAAAUACGUUGGCUUAGCCGAGGGUCCGCGAUCAUACACGCAAAGGAGGGAAGAUGGAAGGAAGGUUUAUAGGCUCCGUUGCAGGGGCGCUGAAAGUAAUUACGUAACUUGAAGUACGUGCCUAAAGUUGAUAGGUCUGUACAGCCACUUGCGUCUACCCCGUAUUACGACAUGAGGGGGACGCAGAAGGGUGGAGUAGUGGCUAAAUUCGCCAUCGACGUUAAAACGCUGUAAAAUUAGCGAGAAAACAGUUGUCAGCGACGCCGAAUGCACCAAUUUUCAAGAAUUCAUUUUUCCAAUUUAAUCUUAUUUAGGAAACACUCCCGCUUCUAAAUCGGAGGGACCUCCGAAAAGUUUGGAGACCGCUUGAUUAAAGGAACAAAGUCGAGCCGAACGAAGCAAGGCAGAGAAUAUUCAACAGGGUGGAAUAUAUUUUUCCACUUUCGAUUCCCCGUAAACGGAAGAGAAUUUUAACGAGAAGCACAGAGGGAAGACGAAAGAGUGGAAAGUGAACAGGACACGGGGCGACCCCUCGACGGUUUAACCAAUCGGGUUUGCCUGGCGCAUUCGUAACGCGGAUUUCAAUAAUACACGGCGAAGACACGAGUAACGGGGAGUAUCCCUGGUCUCCGACAUGGUCCAACGGAUAAAAACAAAUGGACCGAACGUAACCAUAGCGACACGCAGCAUUGGAAAAAAGUUUGGACCCUCCGAAAAAAGGACGAGAAGGAUGGAUGAGCGUAGUACGUCGAUCGUACUUUUUCUGUUAAAGUUUCUUUCAUGUGUAAUCAACGACGUAAAAGAAUCCGUAUCCUCUUCGUUUAUUAUUGACAUUCUGGAAUCCUGAUGCGAACGUGUUAAUUCUUUAGAUUUAUUAAACAACCAGUAAAGACGCGAUCGCCAAUUACUGGAAAAGCGAGACGUCGACGAAGUAGCAAUCUAGUAGCAGAUGUCAAGACGCCGUCCAAUGAAAUUACGUAAUCCCAUUACGUCGGUAACUAUCCAAGGAUCCCGACGAUCGAACAGCAAUCUAACGGACGCAUUUAACGGAUGAUUAGGAAUUUCGAUUCGCCGUGGUUUUUAAUCGAGAAAGAUAUCUUUCGGCAAAUGGUAUCUAACGAGGCUUCGGCAAACUGCACGCGAUCGAUAGAAGAGUGGUGGGCAAAUAAAACGUCUGCUGCCUUCUGCUACCCACAACGACUGUACAUGUUUGCCGGCUUGCGGAUGAACGUCCGUCUAAGUGGAAGGAUCCCACGUUUUUCGUUAGGAGGGUGCAUAAUGCGAAACUAAAUAUUUAGCGACUCGACGCUCGCAAUUGAUAGAUGUACUCGUUCGCUCGCUGCGCAAAUAAACGUCCUCUUCGUUAUUUUCUCUGCGUGUACAAACGAAACCAUUGAAUCACGUGGAUUUAACUGCUUACUCAUGCAAAAUAUAUUCAAAAUAUAUGCAAAAUGAACAAGUAAAUAAAUGGUGUCUCUGACUGUUAAAUUUUGAGUUACGGAGUAUUCUAUAAGAAGAGUUCGACAGAAGGUUGCAUUAGCUCAGUUUGCAAUUAAAGCUACCGAAGCCCAAGAACGGCUAUAACAGAAGUUGAACGGGACACGCGUUUAUAUGAAUUUUUUUCUAUUGUUUUCACGCCCUUAAUUCGCAGCUGAAGUGGGUCACAGAUGUUACAAUACGCCCUGUAUAUAAGGCGCUAAAAGGUAACACAAGGCGCGACGUAUGCGACCGUGCUCGCAUUUCAAAAAUAGGUGCGAGUACCGGAGGGCUAAGGCAAGAAGAAAAGUGGAUUCGUUGCAAGCAGGGUAGCGGCUCGGUUGACGCAACGAAGAUAAAAUGCAGGGGCGAAUGAAAUUGUUGCGAGACGGCACACCGUUCCCUUACCGAAGUUUGAAUUCUUCUAUUCCAGCGUUUUAGAAAAAUCGAUUCUUUUGGUACAUUUCCUGGCGGAUGAUGUUUAGCGUAGCAAGUAAUGCAGAAGCCUGCAACUCCGCCGGAUCCGGGUUCGAAUCCCGGCGAAUAAGAAUCCCCUGGAUGGCCCAGUUCUCCUGUAUCGAUACCGGGAUACUCUCUGAAGUGCCUCCUGCUUUGCCAUAAACUUACCAACGGCUGACCACGUCGGACCACUCGAGAUUCAAUUACCAUAGCUCCGAAAUCGAGUUUCGGGUAAACGAAUGCACCCUCACGCACCCCAAACAGGCGUACGCAAAUACGGUUGGCGAGGCAAUACGUUCGCCAGCAGACGCGGCCUGUACAAAUGGGAUUUCCCGCGGUGGCACGGUUGCUCGUUGUGUGGAAAGAAACGCGUAGAAGGGAAAUCGACGAUGGCGCGAGGGAUAGUAACGAACGAACACCCUCACGUUUCGCUGUUCGGAGUAGAGGCUGAAAAUUUUCGAUUCGCGAUGGGCGUUUUCUCUUCUUCGAGAAUCCAAAGCCCUUGGAAUUUAAUCCUGAGACGACUAUUUGUAUCGCUUUGUUUCCUUGGGUCUAACGUGAACACCAUUGGGUAGUUAAAGACGCCUGAGGUUCAAACAGAAACUUUUGACACCAGGAGAAGGAGCGACGAAGUUAUUUAUAAAAAAUAAUGUACACAGAAAUAUACCAUGAAAAAGAAAAGAAAGAAGAGUAUUGAAAGCGACCGCGACCGGCGAGAGCUGGGAGAACGCGGGGGCCGACAAAGGGCCGAUCGAAUUCUAUAAACAAAAGGUGGUGAUUCCAACAGUCGCCACCAUAGCGACAAGGCAGUCUGCAGCAAUCUGGUUCAGUUUUGUUUCGGAUCCCCGAACGUUAAGACGCGUACGGUUUAUUCGAAGAUCGUUGAAGACUGGUGUAAAUUAUUUUAGCUGGGAAGUAUGCAGAUCCACAUAUGAGAAGGAAAAUAAGAAAAACAAUUUGAGCUACAGGUUGCAAAAAAACGUAAAUGGACAGACACGCAGAUACGUUAUAGCCUUGCGUAAGCAAUGCUGACCGUAAUAUAUGGAAAUCUUAUAAAUCCCCCCCCACGAAGAUACAUGAAAAGAGGAUGAAAGAAACAGCCGCCACGGAAUCUGUAAAGGAGCAUCGCGAGAAUAGUGGAUUCCCCGGUUUGAAAGUAGACGAAAUAUCGUACUAUCGGCGGACUCUAAACACGCCAUGCAUUAUGGAUCGCCCUGGAUGAUCGUUCGUCCAGGAAACAGCACCCCUGACUACCGACAUAUUAGAAGACCAUGCGAUAACGUGCCCCGACAGUUUUGAUAUAUCGUAGAUCGUUGCGUGAAUUCGAAUACGGAAACGAAAAGUGUAAAACGACACGAACGCAGACGACCACACUUUGUCAGUCUCGGUACGACCAUUUCUUAUUAACGAGUUCACUCUUGGAUUUAAGCCAUCGCCAGAAUGUUAAAUCUGGGUACUCAAGAUGGUAUAAUAAUAAUUAUAUGGCGAUUUUUAUGUUAUUCUUAAGGUUGGUGAUGUUUGCAAAUAUUUAAACUAUUUCUUUGCUUCGACUGCAGAUAUUUGGAAAACAGCAUUGAAACCUCGUUUAACUAAAUAUAAAUUUGGCAAUGCUAUAAUUAAAAUUUUACUUUCCAUCCGUAGCAGUUAACACGUUGGUCGCCACGUCACCCAGAAAUGGGUGAUAGACCUUGUCAUUAAGGAACUAAUAAAAUUAAUUUCAAAGAUGAGACAAUAAUGAAAAUAAAUCUGGACAGGAUUCGUAAAUUUGACGACGUUAAAAAAUUAAAUACUAUAACAGAUGUUAAGCUAUCCAAUUUUUACGUAGUUUAGACAAAAUUUUAACUUUAUCGAAAUUUUUACGAGUUUUAGCUUAGCAGCCAACGUGUUGAAAUAUAGUAUAUAAUAUAUUUUUAAAGCGACCAUCAUCCACUUCAAGGCGUGAAUCUUUCAUUUUGGGGCAAUAUCGCCACGUUGAAAAACAAUGACCUAGACCAUGUAAUAAUAUGCCUUUAUCGUUCAGGAAGAACGUACUCUGUGCCAGGUUCUUGUGUUCGCCACUUCGUUGUAACCUGCAUUUUCUUCCGCCUUGUCGAAUGAUCGUUAAGGGAGUCUGAACCAGGGAACAGAGAACGCGCGAAAAAGCACGGUAGUCGACGCUACGUUAGCUUUCGUCGCUUUCGACGUCCACCGCUCCGGAAGCAUUCGAAAGCCGGAGAUUUUUUAAUCUCUUACGUCUCGCAUCGGCAGCGCGUUUCGCGCCCGCUUGAAUCUUAACAGAAACGACAACGGCACGAGUAAUAUUUCGUUCUUAGUCGCGAGGCUCUUCUAGGUCCUUCAUUUUUCGCUCUGAAACCAUUGACGAGAGUCGAGCGCGAGCGAAAUGUUGCGCGUUUCCUUUCUCCCUGGCUGGGUCACGUGUUUUUCUCGCGCAUUCUACCUUUUCAGUGGAUGUAGCUUACAGCUGUGACGUGUUUCGAUUGUUAACUUCGCUUGGUCUCGGAAAAAGAUCAUACUGUGACCUGGUGUAUUUAUUACAAAUUGUUUUCUAAAAGGAGCUUUAGAAUUUUUUUUUUUUUUUUUUUUGUUAAUCUACACACAAUGCAUAUCAGAUCGCUUGUCUUGUUUGGACUCCCGUAGUUCUAACACUCCCUUAGUGCCUUCUUUACUUCAGGAAUUUUUUUCUCGUAAACAAUGAAAGUUGCCUCUAUACGUUAUUCGAGGAAGUAUGUUUCAUUUUGACCGAGGAAUUGAAAAAUAAUUUUUAUAAACGAGUCUUAUUGCCUUACGAAUUCUUAAAAAAAUAUUUCUUUAAUUUAAAAAAGAUCAAGCUUUCACUUUAAAGAAAAACUUUCUACAUAUUUUUUGCAGGGUUGCAUGAGAUCUACGAGGAAAUAGAAUUUCAAUCAAAAAAUUCUCGAGCAACGUCGAUAAUUAUUAAUUUGUCCGUUCGAAGACAGUGGUCCCUCGACGGGUUAACCACUCGAUGCAGAAGCGAAAACAGCGGCUCGUCCACGUGGACCGAGGAACGUGGACGUCGACGGGUGCUCGAGUGCUACUUAUCGUCCGCAUCGAGCCGAGUGAAGAUGUUAGGAGACCGUGCCGACUCGAUGAAUUUUACCCAUGCAGAGUUCCCAAAGCUUCUCUCCUUUCCUCGAGUAUUGUUUUACCGAAGCAAUAUCCCUUCGCUGGCUGGCCCUUGAGCACUCCGCGGGGGAAGCGUUUUCUUCCUCUCAACCCCUGACGGAACUCUCAGUUCUGGCGCGCUAUCGACCGGUCGCCGGCAAUUUCAUUUUUUCCCAGGUUCGAUACCCCGCGAACGCGAGCGUAAAGAUUCGACUAGAUUUUCAUCCGCAGACUCCCUUUCCGCCCCAAAGGCGGAGGGAGGCUUCUCCGAAGGGCUGAGUGGAAACCAUUCUCUCUCUCUCUCUCUCUCUCUCUCUCUCUCUCUCUCUCUCUCUCUUUGCUUAAUUCGAGUCGCGAGGGGAUGCUAGCAGCUUCCGAAAAGGGAACGUAGUCAGACAAUUUCCUCCAUCGCGUCGACACUCGCACUUCUCUUGAUUUCUGUAUGGCACGAUGUUCCUUUCGCUGUUGUCACUCGUCGUUUGUCCAGGGAUCUCCCCUUAUAGAGUUGCUCGACGCGUUUCCGGCACAUUGAUCUUUUCGGUACGGAGUCGAUGACCUUUAGACACCAACGGGUACGAAUAUUAACUUUCGACUUUUGUUUUUCACGAAAGAAUAGAGACCCCCUUUCUCGACGUGGUCAUUGAGGUCGACUCUCUGGUGUUCAAGGGAGGAUGCUGAAUUAGGAGGGCUGAAACACAGCUUAAAACAGUGACCUUUUGUACGACCUUUCGCGGAAAGAUCAUUAACGCAUUCCCACGUCGGGGGAUCGAGACUGACUCUCAUUACGGCGGAUGCGCAUGCAAAGAACCACUUUUCGCGGUACACCUAGCUCGUGUGAUCUUUCUCCGUUCUUUUUUCCCUCGGCCUUCUUCCGCGUUUUUCUUCCAAAGUCGCCUAAAAGUCAUCCAUCGCGCGGAACGCUGAUACGUCUCGGCGAAAAGGGAAAGCUUGCAUAUCUCGUCGAUCUUCUGUUUUUCUUUCCGUCGAAACGAAAGAAAGCGUUGCAGAUUGGACCGGUGCUCGCCCAAGCAGCUUGGAAAACCACGUCCUGGUAUGGACGAUUAUCGCAUAAUUACGAGACAUUUCUCCCCUCGUCAUCGGUUCAUCAUUUAACUCUCUGGGAUUAGGUGGCUCUUGUCUUUGGCUUAAGUUUUUAUACGCGAUGGUAAAUUAAAGUAUGUAUUUUAUGUAUAUAAUCGUGCAUUCGUACAGGGUCAUGAAUAUUUUUGUAUAUUUACAUUUCUGAUGAAUGCAUAAAUAUCUGCGGUCUAAUCACGAGUUAGUAAAUCACCAAUUGUUUUGUUUACUUUCAAACUUUCACCAUUGCGAAGAGAAAUGGGUGCCGAUUCUGGAUAGUUUCGUGUUAAUAUUUUGACCGAAAAUUGUCUAACAAAAAGAAAAAGAAACGUCUCAUGUCCCCGGUGUGGUGCAACCCUUUAAGACUUGAAACGUCCCUACCAGUCGUCGCUUGUUUUGAACGACGCCCACUAGAAACCCUCCGUAUAUCGUGUCACUAGUGUCACUUGCGGUGGGAUUCCUGGACCCCCGUAACCGCGGUACGUCCUCGUUUCACGUAAACUCGCGCAAACGGGGCCCUAGAAAAUUCCAACCCGUCGAACUUCCUCCGUUGGCCAGCCAGCGCGUGAAUCUUUAAACGGACGUUCGAUUUCUCCGUUCCAAGCACCGUCGACGGUGUGCGUGCCGUGUCGUACAGACGUAACGUGGAACGAAACCUUAAAAUAAUAAUCGGCCGGAUAGGAUGCGACGAUAAUCCUUGUUUCUCGAUGCUCGGUGUACCGGUGCCCCUGAGCGGGGUAUUAGGCCGACGUAGGUUUCUAUAAAUGAAAUUAAUGCGAGGAGAACGUGAACCGCGGUCGCGAUCGCCGACGGAUUCGACGGCGACUGUUGACGAGGCAGAAAACAGCGCCGACGCCGGCGGAAAUUAUUUCAAGUGGGAAACACGUUCGCCGGUGCCGCGAGUCAAACGCACGCGUCGGGUGAACGACCUUCGGUUGCGAGAAUCAUUCUAAGACGCUGGCUGCGCGAAGAAGGCCACGAUUCCUCCGCGACGUUUCUCGGUAUUGACCUUUCCACUGCAAAAUACGGUAUACC